rnacentral:rRNA from 1 species
UGUAAGCGUAUACCAAAGUUGUUGCAGUUAAAACGCUCGUAGUCGGAAUUUGGCAGUUCCGGAAGUGUGCACGUCGUGUGCGCACUUUGCGGGGACUGCUUUUGUGGUCUUGCGUAGGAUGAGGCACUUUCAUUAGUGAACGUCCUCACGCAACCACUCUUUACUGUGAGAAAAUCAGAGUGCUCAAAGCAGGCAUUUGCCGUGAAUGUAUUAGCAUGGAAUAAUAGAAUAGGACUCGGUUCUAAUUUGUUGGUUUGUUGGGACUGAGUAAUGAUUAAGAGGGACAGUUGGGGGCAUUUGUAUUCCGGCGCUAGAGGUGAAAUUCUUAGAUUGCCGGAAGACAAACUGCUGCGAAAGCGUCUGCCAAGGAUGUUUUCAUUGA